GAUGAACGCUGGCGGCGUGCCUAAUACAUGCAAGUCGAGCGGACGGACGAGAAGCUUGCUUUUCUGAUGUUAGCGGCGGACGGGUGAGUAACACGUGGAUAACCUACCUAUAAGACUGGGAUAACUUCGGGAAACCGGAGCUAAUAUCGGAUAAUAUUUUGAACCGCAUGGUUCAAAAGUGAAAGACGGUCUUGCUGUCACUUAUAGAUGGAUCCGCGCUGCAUUAGCUAGUUGGUAAGGUAACGGCUUACCAAGGCAACGAUGCAUAGCCGACCUGAGAGGGUGAUCGGCCACACUGGAACUGAGACACGGUCCAGACUCCUACGGGAGGCAGCAGUAGGGAAUCUUCCGCAAUGGGCGAAAGCCUGACGGAGCAACGCCGCGUGAGUGAUGAAGGUCUUCGGAUCGUAAAACUCUGUUAUUAGGGAAGAACAUAUGUGUAAGUAACUGUGCACAUCUUGACGGUACCUAAUCAGAAAGCCACGGCUAACUACGUG
rnacentral:rRNA from 1 species